rnacentral:rRNA from 1 species
GGAAGGAUCAUUAUUGAAAUAAACCUGAUGAGUUGUUGCUGGUUCUCUAGGGGACAUGUGCACAUUUGUCAUCUUUAUAUCUCCACCUGUGCACCUUUUGUAGGCCUGGAUAUCUUUCUGAUGCUUUAGUUAGCAAUCAGGCUUUGAGGAUUUGACUCUUCGUCUCUUCCUUACAUUUCCAGGCCUAUGUUUUUUCAUAUACCCCAAUGUAUGUUCUAGAAUGUAAUCAAUGGGCCUUUUUGUGCCUAUAAAAUAUAUACAACUUUCAGCAACGGAUCUCUUGGCUCUCGCAUCGAUGAAGAACGCAGCGAAAUGCGAUAAGUAAUGUGAAUUGCAGAAUUCAGUGAAUCAUCGAAUCUUUGAACGCACCUUGCGCUCCUUGGUAUUCCGAGGAGCAUGCCUGUUUGAGUGUCAUUAAUAUAUCAACAUCUUCAGCUUUUUGCUUGAUGAUUGUUGGAUGUGGGGGGUUAUUUUUGUUGGCCUUAUUUAGAGGUCAGCUCCCCUGAAAUGCAUUAGCGGAACAUUUUGUUGACCGUUUCAUUGGUGUGAUAAUUAUCUACGCUGUUGAACGUGAAGCAGUUCGGCUUCUAACAGUCCAAUUGGACAAAUUUUCAUUAAUGUGACCUCAAAUCAGGUAGGACUACCCGCUGAACUUAAGCAUAUCAAUAAGCGGAGGAAAAGAAACUAACAAGGAUUCCCCUAGUAACUGCGA